rnacentral:lncRNA from 1 species
CUACUAAGGAAGCCUUCUAGCUCAAGAAGUUUAUUACAGUGCUGGGCCAUCGGAUCCAUACUAUUCUAUUACAACAACAAUGGUGCCAUAGUUCUGACUAAGGAACCUAGGUCUCACUAAAGGUCCAAACACAUAGAGCAAUGAUUCUACCUAUUUUGAUAGUACCUUGAAAGAAAGUACAUUGAGGUGCAGAGAGUAGACUCUAUGGAUAAUAUGACAGACCCACUGACUGAGCCACUGAGCUAG